rnacentral:lncRNA from 1 species
UACCUGUGUUGAUAUUUAUCUAUAUGAGAGAGAUAGUAGGGAGAGUGAAGACCUACCUACCUUAUGGUAAGGCAUUGACACUAGUCUUUCAAGAGUUCAGGAUACCUCACGAGAAAGUGACUGUAAGAGCUCUAAUGUACUCUGAUACCUACAACGAGCAGUUGCUACAUCGAAAGGGCUACUGCAAGUUGCAGGAGAGAUGGGUCAGGAGGAUCUUUGAAUAAGAGAGAUAAAGAGAGAAGGCU